rnacentral:sRNA from 1 species
UACUGUUGCUGGCCUUUUGUAACAAAAAGGCAUGUGCACGUAUUCUCUAAUCUAUUCAUCCACCUGUGCAUCUUUUGUAGGGGUUCUUUUGGAUUGAUCGGUAGAUUUUCUCUACUGUUGAUUUGAAGGGAUUUCCUAUGUCUUAUAAACAAGUCAAGUAUGUUAUUGAAUGUCAUUUACUGGGGACUUUAUUGGACCCUUUAAAACUUUGUACAACUUUCAGCAACGGAUCUCUUGGCUCUCCCAUCGAUGAAGAACGCAGCGAAAUGCGAUAAGUAAUGUGAAUUGCAGAAUUCAGUGAAUCAUCGAAUCUUUGAACGCACCUUGCGCCCUCUGGUAUUCCGGAGGGCAUGCCUGUUUGAGUGUCAUUAUAUUCUCAACUUCAAUAGUUUCUUUAUUGUUGAAGUAUGGAUGUGGAGGCCUUUGCUGGCAUCACUUAGAUGUUCAGCUCCUCUUAAAUACAUUAGUGGAAUUCCCAUUUCGUUGGGCUAUUCUUGGUGUGAUAAUUAUCUACACUUUGGAUCAGUUCUAACAAGCUCUCAGUAGUCAGUGUACUUUUAUAGUAUAUU